rnacentral:lncRNA from 1 species
GUGGGAAGCGCGGUCCUGGGCGUCUGUGCCCGCGAAUCCACUGGGAGCCCGGCCUGGCCCCGACAGCGCAGCUGCUCCGGGCGGACCCGGGGGUCUGGGCCGCGCUUCCCCGCCUGCGCGCCGCUCGCGCUCCCAGGGUGCAGGGACUCCAGCGAGGGCCCCAGCGGAGAGGGGUCGAAUCGGCCUAGGCUGUGGGGUAACCCGAGGGAGGGGCGUGAUGUGGAGGCCCUGGGAACAGGUGCGUGCGGCGACCCUUUGGCCGCUGGCCUGAUCCGGAGACCCAGGGCUGCCUCCAGGUCCGGACGCGAGGCGUCGGGCUCCGGGCACCGCGAAUGCCGGACGUGAAAGGGAGGACGGAGGCGCGUAGACGCGGCUGGGGACGAACCCGAGGACGCAUUGCUCCCUGGACGGGCACGCGGGACCUCCCGGAGUGCCUCCCUGCAACACUUCCCCGCGACUUGGGCUCCUUGACACAGGCCCGUCAUUUCUCUUUGCAGGUUCUCAGGCGGCGAGGGGUCCCCACCAUGAGCAAACCACCCCAAAUCUGUUAAUCACCCACCGGGGCGGUCCCGUCGAGAAAGGGUGGGAAAUGGAGCCAGGCGCUCCUGCUGGCCGCGCACCGGGCGCCUCGCACCAGCCACAACGGCCUUGACCCUGGGCCCCGGCACUCUGUCUGGCAGAUGAGGCCAACAUCUGGUCACAUCCCGCCCGCACAGGGUGGAGGGCAGCCUCGGGGUCCAGGCACCUGGCUCCAAGCCUCGGACUGCAGAGCUAGGAGGCCCGACUUCCAGCCCAGCAGUAGAAGCCACACGGCCACUGGUCCCCUCCAGACCUGGGGCCCCGGCACAACCGCAGGACAGCUGAGGACUUCCCAGGAAUCCAGACUCCAGAAACUGCCGGAGGAAAUUGCUUUAUUUAUGGAGCUAGCAUUUGAACAGGCCUCGCACCCUCCCUGGGCUGUCACACUCGCUGGAGAGAAGCCAACAUAGAAAACACAAUUUUAAAAGAGGGAAGAGAAGAAAUGGAAGCAGAAGAUUAUGCUGGAGUAAUUAACACCAUGUGCAUGGCGAGGAAACGCCUCCCGGCAUUCAAUGAAGAUCGCUGAUACCCAGAAGACACCCCAGUAUUAUGGGUGCAGUUAGUCUGUCUUUGAAAAGCUGAUGAUGUCUUAGUCAUCACAGUGUAAAACAUCAAGAAUGUUCUAACAACAAUAAAAAAAUUCUAUCAUUGGCUUAAAACACCACAACACUUGAGUGGGGUGAGCUUCCUACCUCAGACCCAGAUGUUUCUAAACACAGUAAAUUCUGAGCUGGGCAUGGUGGCUCACACCUGUAAUCCCAGCACUUUAGGAGGCAGAGGCAGGUGGAUCAUCUGAGGUCAGAAGUUCGAGACCAGCCUGGCCAACAUGGUGAACCCCACCCCCACCCCCGUCUCUACUAAAAAUACAAAAAAUUAGCCGGGCAUGGUGGCGGGUGCCUGUAAUCCCAGCCAAAUGGGAGGCGGAAGCAGGAGAAUCACUUGAACCUGGGAGGCAGAGGCUGCAGUAAGCCAAGAUCGCGCCAUUGCACUCCCUCCAGCCUGAGCAACAAGAGUGAAACCCCCUCUCAAAACAAAACAAAACAAACAAACAAAUGAAACAGUGGAUUCAGUACCAGCAGUGAAAAAUAACAAAGUAUCAUUCCUUCCUCCACAGGAGUGAGAGGAACUCCUCUGCCCCUGGGGGGGAAUAGGGAAGGGGCUCAAUCCCAGUAGAGUAGGAGGGAUGGACUUUAAUUUCUACAUGUUUCAGCACACACUGAGACAUUGAGAUUCAGGACAGUGUCCACACUCGCGCCCUGAUUCUACAUCAGGUUUCUACUGGCAGAUGGCAACCCCACUGGGACCUGAAGCCUGCAGCCUCCCAGCUGCUGGCAGGGUGGGGGCAUCGCAGCCCCUGCAGUGGGUCCCAUGGGAUAACAGGUGGUCACAGAAACUGUGAAUAUGUCAAGAGACGGUGUAUCCCCAGUCUACGAAGAAUUACAGAAAAUAUCAAAGGAGGGUAACUCCUGAGUAAAGGGGAAAUUGAACUCCAUGAACUCCUUACCAGUGGGUGUGACUUGAGCCCAGGGAAGUUUUAAAAUGGUUAAAUAGGCCAGGUGCAGUGGCUCAUGCCUGUAAUCCCAGCACUUUGGGAGGCUGAGGUGGGCGAAUCACCUGAGGUCAGGAUUUUGAGAUCAGCCUGACCAACAUGGUGAAAGCCCAUCUCUACUAAAAAUACAAAAUUAGCCGGGUGUGGUGGUGCACGCCUGAAAUCCCAGCUACUUGAGAGGCUGAGGCAUGAGAAUUGCUUGAACCCAGGAGACGGAGGUUGCAGUGAGCCAAGAUCAUGCCACUGCACUCCAGCCUGGGCAACAAGAGCAUAACUCUGUCUCAGAAAGUAAGUAAAUAAAAUAAAAUAGCUAAAUAAAAUCACUCGUGCCUGCCCUGCCCUUGCCUGGAGGCGCUUCAGCCCUGUCCUUGGAUGUUUCUGUAAACCUUUGUUUUGAAAUAAUCCUAGAUUCACAGUGCAUGGGUUUCCUGUUGCUUCUGCAAAUCCCCACACACUUCAUGCUAGAAGGGCAGCGCGAGUGCCCUCCAAUGGCACGGAGGCCGGAGGUCCACGCUGG